CUGUGAUGAAAACUGGUUUUAUUUUGCUCCUUUAAACUCCUGUUACCGGUUUUACUGUGACAGCACGACAUGGCAGAAAGCUCAGGCAUUUUGCAAUCAUCCCCCACAUUACGGACGGCUGGCUUCUGUGUGCUCGACGGCACACAACACAUUCAUUUCUAACGUGAUCGAUGCUGUGAACGGUAACAAGCCAACUGCAUGGAUUGGCCUGAAUGACAGAAGCAAGGAAGGGACUUUCACAUGGAUUGAUGGAACUUCGUAUAGUUACCGAAACUGGGCUUGGUAUCAACCUGACAAUUUUCGAGACGCCGAAGACUGUGUG